rnacentral:lncRNA from 1 species
AAAAUGUAAUAAAAGAACAUAUUACAUUAAGUUGAUCACAAUCUCAACGCCCUCUCUCUCACUCGAAACUCUUUUCUCUCUUUUCUCUCCAGCCAGCGCACUUCCUUCUCACUCAAAGAAGUUUCUCUUCUUCAUGUAUUCUCUCAUUUCCUUCAACCACCACGUCCUUAGUCAUAUGAUUCUCUAUUCUUUAGCUACCUCUUCCCCACCUUCCCUUGACGAAAAUUCUUGCAUAAUUCAUAAUUAGAAGAAUUUCCUCCCAAGGUACUCGUGCUAACCCUUUUGAUCACAUACUUUCUUUUGAUCACAUACGUAUUUAUUUGACCCAUUUGAAUGUUCUACAUCCAUCAUGAUUUUUUUUGUUUUACGGUAUGCAAUCUAAAAUCAUGUGUUCUCCAUCCAUUCGCUACUGAUUUAAUCAUUAUCUGAGUUUUUCAACAAAAAGAACACAAUUUAUAAACAUAGACAACCAUGAUUAGUUUCGGAAGUCAAAAUAAAAAGCAUGUUAAUCAAUUGUCUUUUAUCUCGUAUCCCCAAUUUUACUUCUCAAAGUACUAAAAUAGUCUAAAAACAAUCAUACGUACGUAAUAAGAAAAUAAUUUACUUCCUGCUGUGUUUAAACAAAACUUCUAUGAGAUGUAAAAAAAGAAAAAGAGUCUACGAUGGAUGAUCAAGCGUAAUUGCUUUGUUACGUCUAAAAGGUGUUUAACAAAACUAUAGCGCAGAAAAUAAUCAGUUUAAUUAACUAAACAAAAACAUGUUAGUGGAUUAAGCCAAGAAUUAGUCCGAUAGAACUAUAAAAUCUACAAAAUAUCUCAAAUCUCAAUAAUACGUAUAUAAUAUCUCAAUAAUACCUAUAUAAUAUCUCAACUCCAAUCAGAAAGCUAAAUAAAAUAUCAGCAUAAGUUAUAUUCGCUUCCAAAAAAAGUCUGCCUCGUUACCUACCUCUCACACUCAAGUCUCUCACGUUAUUUGAGAUAUUUAGGAGAAGCAAGACGACAACGAGAAGAAAAAAGAGUGGGUAUGGUCAAGAAAAAGACAAAUUAUGAUUUUAGUGGAAAAUAGAAAGUAAAGAGUGAAGUGACGCGACACGUGGUACGAGACUCCACAGCGAGCCACGUAAGGGGGGACAAAGAAGAGAAGGUAUGGACAAUGGUUUCCGCGGUCGAGCCACGCUUUCAGAAUUCUGAUUGGCACUGGGUUAUCUUGUGGAACCCAUCUGAAAGAUAUUUUUGGUUGUCGUACGGAUUUGUUUAUUUCGGGUUUGUUGAAUUAGUUUGUUUCGGUUUUAUACACUAUUUUAGGAAACUUUUUUUUAUAUUCUUUAUAGUGAACUGGGCUGAAUUUUUUUGGUUGCUAGAUUCGAGACGAGCCAAUUUAUGUAAUAUUUUGUGGCUUUCUGUUGCUAAAUUGUAAGAUCUGUAACUUACAUGAGAUAGAAUAAAAUAAUGUAAUGCAGGUUUUGUGGCAUAUUUACAAACAUCAUCCACGUGUAAUGAUCUGUCCACAUAUUUUGCCUUGAAAGCAACUACAAUAUGACUUUUAAUAUCUUUUUUGUUAAAUAUUUGACUUUUAACUUAUGUGAAG